CUAAGGCUAAAUACUCUCUAGUGACCGAUAGUGAACCAGUACCGUGAGGGAAAGGUGAAAAGUACCCCGGAAGGGGAGUGAAAGAGAACUUGAAACCGUGUGCUUACAAGUAGUCAGAGCCCGUUAAUGGGUGAUGGCGUGCCUUUUGUAGAAUGAACCGGCGAGUUACGAUCUGAUGCAAGGUUAAGCAGAAAAUGUGGAGCCGUAGCGAAAGCGAGUCUGAAUAGGGCGAAUGAGUAUUUGGUCGUAGACCCGAAACCAGGUGAUCUACCCUUGGUCAGGUUGAAGUUCAGGUAACACUGAAUGGAGGACCGAACCGACUUACGUUGAAAAGUGAGCGGAUGAACUGAGGGUAGCGGAGAAAUUCCAAUCGAACUUGGAGAUAGCUGGUUCUCUCCGAAAUAGCUUUAGGGCUAGCCUCAAGUGAUGAUUAUUGGAGGUAGAGCACUGUUUGGACGAGGGGCCCCUCUCGGGUUACCGAAUUCAGACAAACUCCGAAUGCCAAAUAAUUUAACUUGGGAGUCAGAAUGUGGGUGAUAAGGUCCAUAUUCGAAAGGGAAACAGCCCAGACCACCAGCUAAGGUCCCAAAAUAUAUGUUAAGUGGAAAAGGAUGUGGCGUUGCCCAGACAACUAGGAUGUUGGCUUAGAAGCAGCCAUCAUUUAAAGAGUGCGUAAUAGCUCACUAGUCGAGUGACACUGCGCCGAAAAUGUACCGGGGCUAAACAUAUUACCG
rnacentral:rRNA from 1 species